AUGGUUGCAAAGCUGAAACUUAAAGGAAUUGACGGAAGGGCACCACCAGGAGUGGAGCCUGCGGCUUAAUUUGACUCAACACGGGAAACCUCACCAGGCCCAGACACUAGCAGGAUUGACAGAUUAAGAGCUCUUUCUCGAUUUGGUGGGUGGUGGUGCAUGGCCGUUCUUAGUUGGUGGAGUGAUUUGUCUGGUUAAUUCCGGUAACGAACGAGACUCUGGCCUACUAAAUAGUCGACGUGGUGAUAUGGCCACGGUCGAAACUAUCUUCUUAGAGGGAUGAGCAGCAAGUGCAGCUGCAGGAGAGUGAGCAAUAACAGGUCUGUGAUGCCCUUAGAUGUUCUGGGCCGCACGCGCGCUACACUGAAAGGGUUAGCGGGUCUACCUUCUCCGAGAGGAGCGGGAAAUCGCUACAAAACCUUUCAUGAUUGGGAUUGGGGCUUGCAACUGUUCCCCAUGAACGAGGAAUUCCCAGUAAGCGCAAGUCAUCAGCUUGCGUUGAUUAAGUCCCUGCCCUUUGUACACACCGCCCGUCGCUACUACCGAUUGAAUGAUUUAGUGAGGCCUUCGGACUGGCGGCUUGGACUGGGCUCCACUCGUCACCCCUGCGUUGCCGCUGGGGCCGGUGGGCUCGCCUCGACGCGCCGGAAAGAUGUCCAAA
rnacentral:rRNA from 1 species